CAGGACGUAGCUAAGACAGCAAAGCACCUCCCUUACACUGAGGAGUCGUCUGUGCAAAUCAGACCGCCCUGA
rnacentral:tRNA from 1 species